GAUGAACGCUGGCGGCGUGCCUAAUACAUGCAAGUCGAGCGAACGGACGAGAAGCUUGCUUCUCUGAUGUUAGCGGCGGACGGGUGAGUAACACGUGGAUAACCUACCUAUAAGACUGGGAUAACUUCGGGAAACCGGAGCUAAUACCGGAUAAUAUUUUGAACCGCAUGGUUCAAAAGUGAAAGACGGUCUUGCUGUCACUUAUAGAUGGAUCCGCGCUGCAUUAGCUAGUUGGUAAGGUAACGGCUUACCAAGGCAACGAUGCAUAGCCGACCUGAGAGGGUGAUCGGCCACACUGGAACUGAGACACGGUCCAGACUCCUACGGGAGGCAGCAGUAGGGAAUCUUCCGCAAUGGGCGAAAGCCUGACGGAGCAACGCCGCGUGAGUGAUGAAGGUCUUCGGAUCGUAAAACUCUGUUAUUAGGGAAGAACAUAUGUGUAAGUAACUGUGCACAUCUUGACGGUACCUAAUCAGAAAGCCACGGCUAACUACGUGCCAGCAGCCGCGGUAAUACGUAGGUGGCAAGCGUUAUCCGGAAUUAUUGGGCGUAAAGCGCGCGUAGGCGGUUUUUUAAGUCUGAUGUGAAAGCCCACGGCUCAACCGUGGAGGGUCAUUGGAAACUGGAAAACUUGAGUGCAGAAGAGGAAAGUGGAAUUCCAUGUGUAGCGGUGAAAUGCGCAGAGAUAUGGAGGAACACCAGUGGCGAAGGCGACUUUCUGGUCUGUAACUGACGCUGAUGUGCGAAAGCGUGGGGAUCAAACAGGAUUAGAUACCCUGGUAGUCCACGCCGUAAACGAUGAGUGCUAAGUGUUAGGGGGUUUCCGCCCCUUAGUGCUGCAGCUAACGCAUUAAGCACUCCGCCUGGGGAGUACGACCGCAAGGUUGAAACUCGAAGGAAUUGACGGGGACCCGCACAAGCGGUGGAGCAUGUGGUUUAAUUCGAAGCAACGCGAAGAACCUUACCAAAUCUUGACAUCCUUUGACAACUCUAGAGAUAGAGCUUUCCCCUUCGGGGGACAAAGUGACAGGUGGUGCAUGGUUGCCGUCAGCUCGUGUCGUGAGAUGUUGGGUUAAGUCCCGCAACGAGCGCAACCCUUAAGCUUAGUUGCCAUCAUUAAGUUGGGCACUCUAAGUUGACUGCCGGUGACAAACCGGAGGAAGGUGGGGAUGACGUCAAAUCAUCAUGCCCCUUAUGAUUUGGGCUACACACGUGCUACAAUGGACAAUACAAAGGGCAGCGAAACCGCGAGGUCAAGCAAAUCCCAUAAAGUUGUUCUCAGUUCGGAUUGUAGUCUGCAACUCGACUACAUGAAGCUGGAAUCGCUAGUAAUCGUAGAUCAGCAUGCUACGGUGAAUACGUUCCCGGGUCU
rnacentral:rRNA from 1 species